AAAACAAUACCCAUAGCUAAACCACCAUUCAAACACUUACCAUCAUUCUAGGGUUUCAUGCCACCUCCCCUUUCCCCAUUUUGAGCAAAGUUCCAAAUCUUUUUCACCUCAGGUCAGAAUUGUUAAACCAUUUUCGUGCAACUUUUGCAUCGAUGUUAGAAAUCAAAGAGGCAGAGACUGCAAUUAUCAAUAUUCACAUGGGAGCAGAGGCCUAUGGGAAAAUGCGCUAUCAGUUUCCAUAUCUCAACAAAGUUAUGUUACUACAUGCUGCUAUAACUUAGAUUCUACUAUAUUCAAAUUCAUAGCACGGUCAAAUACACAAACAAGCAAGUCGAUCUCUAUGGUUAGUAGCAGAAUUGCAGAUGUAUGUUCAUCUUUAUAGUUUUUUUUUCAUUUGAAAAUUCAUAUUGUGCUGUAUAUUUUUAUAUAAUAAAGUGUGGUCUGUUUACAAAUAUUUCAUUAGUCACAUUUAUUUUUUGCUUUUUUAUUGAAAAAAAUGCUUUCUCUCACUAAGCUGUUUGGAAAAAACUGAAAUGCACCAGCAACUGCACCACCAUUCUGACCAAAACCUUUUUUGGUUACUAUUUUUUCUUGCACUUGUUUCCGUUGCUUAUUAUAUUUUACUUAAUGCAGCAGUUCAAUUAUAUAUCAAGGGGUAAUGUGGGUUCAGAGAUCUUAUUUGUGUUGACAGUGAUCUUAUCACGUGAGAGGCAAAUCAUAGCCCCAAUAGAAGUUGCCAAAGUCACAGCAGCAUGGAUUAACAUACUUUGUAUGUGGAAACUAUGAGCGCGUUGUCACAAAGGCCUCCUCGCCCACAGUCAACACAAAUAAGAUCACUCACAUUUACCCCCUUGAUAUUUAAAUGAACUGUUGCAUUAAGUAAAACAUAGUAAGCAACGGGAACAAGUGCAAGAAGAAAUAGUAACCAAAGAGGGUUUUGGUCAGAUUGGUGGUGCAGUUGCAUUUCAGUUUUUUCCAAACAAUUGUGAAUGAGAGAACACAUUUUUUCAGUGAGAAAGCAAGAAAUAAAUGUGAGUCAAUAUUUGUAAACAGACCACACUUUGUUAUAUAAAAAUAUAAAGUACAGUACAUACAAUCUGAAUUUUCAAAUAAGUAAAACCUAUAAAGCUGAAAGUAUCUCUGCAGUUCUGCUACUAACCUUAGAGAUCGUCUUCCUUGUUUGUGUAUUUGAUCGUCCUUUGCUUUAUUUUAGACCCUCUGCCAAUUUGUUCUAUUCCAUUUUCCAACCCCUCAUCUCCAUCUUUUUAUUAUUUUCUUUUUCUUGACAGAUUUAAAACAAUGAAGAUUAGGUUUUGAAUCUGAAUGUAGUAUAAACUAAAAUUAUGGUAGUAAUAUUAUAAUCAGAAGAAGGAGAUGUCUUUUUUGUCA